CUUUUCACACAGUAAAACCCUGCUUUACUUCCCUUUGAGUCGUCUGUGAGCCUAAAUUUUUGUGGCUGUGGGAAGGACAAGAACCCCAUCUUUAGCUGAAAUAAGGAAAAGUUCCGCAACAUUUUUGGCACACACCCUGGGGGCUCCGGAAGUGAAAGUUCCCAGGAGAUGAAGACAUUGAAACUGCCAUCAUAAAAUUAAUAAAAGGUUCAAGAUUAGAAUUAUGGUAUUGGCCUGGAUUUUGUUAAGACAGAGACAUAGGAAUGCUGUCGGAACUGGACCUUGAUGAAGGAAAUACUUUCUGACUCAUUGGAAUUUGUUAUAGUCAAAGUAAGUAAGGCACAAAUAUUGAAGAUAAACUUGGUACAGU
rnacentral:lncRNA from 1 species